rnacentral:rRNA from 1 species
GACGAACGCUGGCGGCGUGCUUAACACAUGCAAGUCGAACGCGCCUGUCCUCUGGGUUUCUGGGGGGUGGGUGAGUGGCAAACGGGUGAGUAACACGUGAGUAACCUGCCCCCUUCUUCGGGAUAACGGUCUGAAAGGGCUGCUAAUACCGGGUAUUCACUGGUCUCCGCAUGGGGUCUGGUGGAAAGGUUUUUUUCUGGUGGGGGAUGGGCUCGCGGCCUAUCAGCUUGUUGGUGGGGUGAUGGCCCACCAAGGCUUUGACGGGUAGCCGGCCUGAGAGGGUGACCGGUCACAUUGGGACUGAGAUACGGCCCAGACUCCUACGGGAGGCAGCAGUGGGGAAUAUUGCACAAUGGGCGCAAGCCUGAUGCAGCGACGCCGCGUGAGGGAUGGAGGCCUUCGGGUUGUGAACCUCUUUCGCCCGUGGUCAAGCCGCGACGUGGGUCGUGGUGAGGGUAGUGGGUAAAGAAGCGCCGGCUAACUACGUG